AUUGAACGCUGGCGGCAUGCUUUACACAUGCAAGUCGAACGGCAGCGCGUGCUUCGGCCUGGCGGCGAGUGGCGAACGGGUGGGUAAGGCAUCGGAAAGUGCCCAGUAGUUGGGUAUAGCCUGGCGAAAGGCGGAUUAAUACCGCAUACGACCUGAGGUGGAAACGGGGGGAACGAAAGGGCUCGGGCUAUUGUGGCGGUCGAUGGCGUCUUGGCUAGUUGGUGGGGUGAAGGCGUACCAGGGCGACGAUCCGUAGCCGGGCUGAGAGGACGACCAGCGACACUGGGACUUAGCCACGGACCAGACUCCUACGGGAGGCAGCAGUGUGGAAUUUUGGACAAUGGUGGCAACCCUGAUACAGCCGUGCCGCGUGUGAGACGAAGGCCUUCGGGUUGUAAACCGCUUUUGUUCGGGAAGAACUCCUCUGGGCUCAUAACACGGGGGGAUGACGGUACCGGAAGAAUAAGCACCGGCUAACUACGUG
rnacentral:rRNA from 1 species